rnacentral:sRNA from 1 species
UUCGAAACUGUCGGCGCCGGACGUCGGGUCGGCGACGAUGGUUUCCUGGAUCGGCUUGCCGGUGUCGAGCGUUUCGAGUUCGGAAAGCUCGCGGUUGCGCUGGCGCAU